GGCAAUCUGAGAGCAAAUCCUGUUUAGACGCAGGUGAAGGUUCCUGGUGACCCAGGCUCUCACCUUACCGUGACUUACCGUCCUCCUGAGGGUGUCUGGAGCUUCAGUGCUGUGUGCUCUUGGCCUCCACGCUGGGGGUGCCACCAACUCCCACUGUCCAGGGCUUCCAGUGGACUCUCCGAGGCACUGAUGUAGAAACUUCCCUAUUCAGUGCACCAAGAGCAGCCUCACACGGUGUGGGCCGAAUGAAGAGCUGCCAGAUCCCACAGAUGGAGUUAUUUCUCUUUUCCUCGGGCUCGAAUGCAGUGGCGCCAUCUCAGCUCACUGCAACCUCCACCUCCUGGGUUCAAGUGAUUCUCCUGCCUCAGCCUCCUGAAUAGCUGGGAUUACAGGCGCCUGCCACCACACCCAGCUAAUUUUCGUAUUUUUAGUAGAGACAGGGUUUCUCCAGGUUGGCCAGGUUGGUCUCUAACUCUUGACCUCAAGUGAUCCACCUGCCUUGGCCUCUCAUCUCAAAGUGCUAGGAUUACAGACAUGAGCCACAGCCUGACCUGAACUGUGGGGAAAAGAAAGAGAUCAGAUUGUGACUGUGUCUGUGUAGAAAGAAGUAGACAUAAGAGACUCCAUUUUGGUCUGUACUAAGAAAAAUUCUUCUGCCUUGAGCUGCUGUUAAUCUGUAACCCUACCCCCAACCCUGUGCUCCCUAAGACAUGUGCUGUGUCUACUCAGGGUUAAAUGGAUUAAGGGCUGUGCAGGAUGUGCUUUGUUAAACAAAUGCUUGAAGGCAGCCUGCUUGUUAAGAGUCAUCACCACCCCCUAAUCUCAAGUACCCAGAGACACAAUACACUGCGGAAGGCCGCAGGGACUUCUGCCUAGGAAAGCCAGGUAUUGUCCAAGGUUUCUCCCCAUGUGGUAGUCUGAAAUAUGGCCUCGUGGGAAGGGAAAGACCUGACUAUCCCCCAGCCCAACACCCUUAAAGGGUCUGUGCUGAGGACGAUUAGUAAAAGAGGAAGGAACGCCUCUUUGCAGUUGAGAUAAGAGGAAGGCAUCUGUCUCCUGCUCGUCCCUGGGCAGUGGAAUGUCUCGGUGUAAAGCCCGAGUGUAUAUUCCAUCUACUGAGAUAGGAGAAAACCACCUUAGGACUGGAGGUGGGACAUGCUGGCAGCAAUACUGCUCUUGAAAGCAUUGAGAUGUUUAUGUAUAUGCACAUCAAAAGCACAGCACUUUUUUCUUUACCUUGUUUAUGAUGCAGAGACAUUUGUUCACGUGUUUACCUGCUGAUCUUCUCUCCACUGUUAUCCUAUUGUCCUGCCACCUCCCCCUAUCCAGGAAACGCCCAAUAAUGAUCAAUAAAUACUAAGGGAACUCAGAGGCCAUUGCCAGUGUGGGUCCUCCGUAUGCUGAACGCCAGUCCCCUGGGCCCAUUUUUCUUUCUCUAUACUUUGUCUCUGUGUCUCUCUUUUCCAAGUCUCUCAUUCCACCUAACAAGAAACGCCCACAGGUGUGGAGGGGCAACCCAUCCCUUCACUGAACCAUUUUUAUUCUUUCAGAAAUGUGAUUGAUAACAGUAAAGCCACACUCCUCACGUGCCUGAAAUACCCCUCAUUGUCUUCUUCAGGUGUCAAGGGCUCUGGAACAGCCACAUAAAAGUGAGGGCAAUAUUUUUACUGUAGUUCUUUCAUUGAUUGAUUGAUUGAUUUUUUUCUCUUAGACGGGUUAGCAUAUAUGUAUCUGAAAUUGAAAUUCAAGAAGAGAGACAGGCACCUGUACUAGUUUUCUCUUGCUGCCUAUUAUCACAUUACCACAAACCAGUGGUUUGAAACCACAGAAGUCUGGAAUGAAGCGGCCGGGUUCUCUGGUCAGAGUCAUCUGAGGCUAAAAUCCAGGAAUGGGCUGGCUGUGUUUUUUUCCUAGAGCUUAAGCUAUUUUUCCAGGUUCACUACAGACAUUGAAAGACUUCCUAUUCUUGUUUGUGGGGGACUGAGGGCCCUUUUUCUGUGCUGGCUGUCAGCGGGGAGACACUCUGACUCCAGAGGCCACCUGCUUUCCUCCUUACCUGUCUGUUCCGUCUUUCAACCAAUAACAACUCAUGGAGUCCUUCUCAAGCUCCCACCUUCUCUGACUUCAUCUUCUCCAACCAGCCACACAAAGCUCUGUCAUGUAUGGAGUGAUGUGAUUAGAUCCAGUUCAUGCGGUAGCCUCACCAUCUUAAAGUCAUAUAACUGGCAUAUAACAACAUAAUCACAGGAAUGGUGUCUCAUCACCUUAACAGGCUUUAGAGACAAGGGUGUGGCAUGUUUGGGGACCAUUUCAGAAAUUCCAUCUACCACAGUAGGACACUCACAUUCCCCCAUCUACAAAAUGCGUUCACCUUCUCCCCUAAGGUUUCCAAAUUUCAUGUCAUUAAAGCAUUAGUUCAACAUGAAAAAUGUCAUGUAGACCACAUCAGAUCAAAAGUUUAAAAUCCCAUCUAAAACAUCCACACCAGGUGUGAAUGAGGCUUCUGAGGGUGUCCAUUAAGUACAGAUCCUUGACAUAAUUCCCUUACCUCCGUCGACCUGUGAAACUGAACAAACAAUUUAUCUGCCCCUAAUGUGAAAUGAUGGGACAGACAUAGAAUAACAACUACCGUGAUUCUAGUUCAAAAUGAGGGAACAUGGAGGGGAUAAAGAAGUCAUUAACCUAAAAUAGUUUGGAAAUGGAGCUGGGCAAAAUCCAGCAGGAGUUUCUUAGUUAGGAUCCACAGCCUGGGACUGACCCUGUGUCCUGUGGGUCUUUGCCUCUGGGCUCUCUGCUCUGCAUUUCUUGAAACCAUUAUUAUUUGUCAUUUUUCUCAUGCUCUUUUGCGUAUGGCUCCUACUGCACUCAAAAUGUUUUUGAGAUUCAUCCAUGUUGUUUUGUGUGUCAACAGUUUGUUCCUUUAACCAUUCCAUGGAAUGAAUGUAUCACAGUUUAUUGAUCCAUUCUUGUAUUGACAGAUACUUGAAUGUUUCCAGUUUUUCCUAUUAUGAAUAAAACUGCUAUGAACAUUCUUGUAUAAA